UUAGUACUCUCUCAGUCUAACAAAAGAUGUCUUAAUUUUAACUUAAAUUUGAAUGCAUCUAUACACUAACUUAUGUCUAGAUACAUUCAAAUUUUGAUAAAUUUGAGACAUUUUUUGUUCGACGGAGGGAGUAAUAC
rfam:Brachypodium distachyon strain Bd21 chromosome 1, whole genome shotgun sequence.